CCUACGGGUGGCAGCAGUGAGGAAUAUUGGUCAAUGGACGAGAGUCUGAACCAGCCAAGUAGCGUGAAGGAUGACUGCCCUAUGGGUUGUAAACUUCUUUUAUAUGGGAAUAAAAUGUUCCACGUGUGGGCUUUUGUAUGUACCAUAUGAAUAAGGAUCGGCUAACUCCGUGCCAGCAGCCGCGGUAAUACGGAGGAUCCGAGCGUUAUCCGGAUUUAUUGGGCUUAACGGGAGCGUAGGUGGAUUGUUAAGUCAGUUGUGAAAGUUUGCGGCUCAACCGUAAAAUUGCAGUUGAAACUGGCAGGCUAGAGUACAGUAGAGGUGGGCAGAAUUCGUGGUGUAGCGGUGAAAUGCGUAGAGAUCACGAGGAACACCGAUUGCGAAGGCAGCUCACUGGAC
rnacentral:rRNA from 1 species